ensembl:lncRNA
AUUCAUUUUUACUUUGUAAUUUUGUUCUUGUUCUGUUCAUUCGCAUCAGAGGAUAAUGCCUAAGAAACCCAUGUCAUGCCACUUAGAUCAGUACAGAAUGUUUAUCUGCAUGCAGAGACACAAACAUGUUCUUCUGCUCAAGGUUCGUCUGUACAUCUUCUAAAACCCUGAAACAAAGCCUGUUUGAACUGCCUCAAACUGCUUCUUAUUGGUACACAGAAGUGUGUCAUGCUCUGUAUUUCAUAUAUAUAGUAGUAGUUCAGCACAAGCGCUCCAGAGGAUUCUCAUUAUUCUAUCCUGCUUUAUUCUAUCCUGUAUUAACCAUCUUUCUGUAAUAAACCUUUUUCAACUCAGAGGACGACUGUUGUCUAAUUUCCACGCUAUAAGCGAGUUUCAAGGCUCUAGGAGCAAAGCAAAGCAGUUUUUUCUAACAAACGGAUAUAAUUACUUGCGUGACCUGCUUGAAUCAGACAUGUUUCACAUAUUUACGACAUCAUAUGAUACUACGACAUCUUUCACUUCAUUUGAUACUAUGAUGUUUCACAAGUUUCUGAUGUAAAAUGAUAUGAAUUAUGAUUGCUUGCAUUAAGAUCUAUAUUAUGAUAAAGUAUCAAAAUAUGAAAAAAAAAACCUGACAAUUGACGUGUAGAAUGUCAUUUUUCAUCACAUUGUGUGUUCUCAUUCAUCCUGUGUGUCCAUACACACAGGUGCGCUUCAUGCGCUGAAAAUGCUAUACUUAGAUUUAGGGCUGCACAGUUAAUCGAAUAUAGAUCACAAUUACCAUUUUGACUGCCCACAAUUACAUGAACAUGAUUGACUGCGAUAUUGACAUUUAAAGUAGGUUCUCCGCUCAUAGAAAACUCCACUGCAGAUCAAAUCAAGAGCUUCCUAAACUUACAGCCAGUCACCAUAGAGCGGCGCAGGGAUGUCAUCAUUUUGCAAUGCCAAAAUCUGGAAAUGAGUUAGCAUUUUAGCACUAAAGCUGCCAGCUUUGCUUGUGCAAUGGGAAAUCACGACACUAACAUGUUGCUAAAUGCAGAUAAACUCACGGCUCAACAGUGUUGUAUAUAAAAUAUGCAUGAAAUAAACACGAGGGAGACCUAUUAUGAGUAAUAUGUAAUCUUAUUGAGAAUUCACUGGGCUGGUGGACUGUAUGAACGGAUGUUCACCUAAGACACAACACACAGAUAAGCAAGGUGCAGGGGGAUAACAAUACAUGUAUUU